rnacentral:ncRNA from 1 species
AUAAAAGCGACGAAAAAGAGAGUACUUUUAUGGCAGAUUUACAGAGAAAUCCCACACAGGCUGAGAGGGGAUGACCUAAAGUAGGAGGAACAUGGCUUUGGAGCAGCAGUAUCGAACCAUUGGCUAGAUACUGACAGGAACCGCCUGUUAUAGCGGAAAGAGGCGCAGCAGAGCCGGCAAAAGAUGCUAGAUGAUUUUGAUAGCUGUGUGAAGAGAAGUGGUACCACGAUAUAAUCGUCUUCUUG